AGAGUUUGAUCAUGGCUCAGAAUCAACGCUGGCGGCGUGCCUAACACAUGCAAGUCGCACGAGAAAGGGGCUUCGGCUCUGAGUAAAGUGGCGCACGGGUGAGUAACACGUGAAUCAUCUACCCUCGAGUGGGGAAUAACCUAGAGAAAUCUGGGCUAAUACCGCAUAACACUUACGAGUCAAAGCAGCAAUGCGCUUGGGGAGGAGUUCGCGGCCGAUUAGUUAGUUGGCGGGGUAAUGGCCCACCAAGACGAUGAUCGGUAUCCGGCCUGAGAGGGCGCACGGACACACUGGAACUGAAACACGGUCCAGACUCCUACGGGAGGCAGCAGUGGGGAAUUUUGCGCAAUGGGGGAAACCCUGACGCAGCAACGCCGCGUGGAGGAUGAAAUCCCUUGGGAUGUAAACUCCUUUCGAUUGGGAAGAUUAUGACGGUACCAAUAGAAGAAGCCCCGGCUAACUUCGUGCCAGCAGCCGCGGUAAUACGAGGGGGGCAAGCGUUGUUCGGAAUUAUUGGGCGUAAAGGGUGCGUAGGCGGUUUGACAAGUCUUAUGUGAAAUCUAUGGGCUCAACCCAUAGUCUGCAUGAGAAACUGUUGAGCUUGAGUAUGGGAGAGGUGAGUGGAAUUUCCGGUGUAGCGGUGAAAUGCGUAGAUAUCGGAAGGAACACCUGUGGCGAAAGCGGCUCACUGGACCAUAACUGACGCUGAGGCACGAAAGCUAGGGGAGCAAACAGGAUUAGAUACCCCAGUAGUCC
rnacentral:rRNA from 1 species